ACGGUAGUAACACGUGGGUGAUCUGCCCUGCACUCUGGGAUAAGCCUGGGAAACUGGGUCUAAUACCGGAUAGGACCAUGCUUUAGUGUGUGUGGUGGAAAGUUUUUCGGUGUAGGAUGAGCCCGCGGCCUAUCAGCUUGUUGGUGGGGUAAUGGCCUACCAAGGCGGCGACGGGUAGCCGGACUGAGAGGUUGGUCGGCCACAUUGGGACUGAGAUACGGCCCAG
rnacentral:rRNA from 1 species